CUACUCAUGAUUACAAAAACAAAUAACAUUAUAUAUAAUACAACCAUUGAGAGUAACAUGAAAAAUAAAAGUUAAGGAAAAACAAAACAAAUAUUUGCAGUCUUGCUCUCCAAGUUUCAACCUCCACUUCUAGCUUCUUGAAUCUCCAAAAGUUGUCUAACCAAUGCCUCUUAAAAAUAUCCUAUUUAUACUAACAAACUUAACCUAUAAUUCCCUAAGUUGACCUAUGAUUUAAUUGGGCUUAAAAAUGUAAUGAAAGGCCUAAACAUCAAUUGUCAAUCUUUAAAAUUGUCAUUCCCGCCACAGUGCGCCUAGCCAUUUUUGAUGUGAUUUUCUCCAUCUUCAAAGUAGAAUUGGGUAAAGUGAUCACAUAAAUUUUUUAGCUUUGUCUCUUAGCUUUCCAAUGGUCUAAGAAUUGUAGCAUUUGGAGUUCUGUACCACGAGUUAUAGUCAAAAUACUAAAGCAUAUGCAAACAGACUUCUAGGUCUUUCAACACCUUACUUUCCAAAAUUAAGCCCAAUUCCCUUAAAUCCUACAAAAACAUAAAAACUAAUAAAUAUUAACCAAAUUAAAAGAAAUAAACAUAAAAUUAAAAUAACUCAGUUAGAAAUAAACUAAUUAUCAAAACAACUAAAAAUAACUAAAUUAUAAUUAAAAAAUAAGGACUUAACUAAUAUUUAAUAACAAAACUGGACUAAAAUAAUUCUAUAAAAUAGAAUUAUCACAAAACAAGAUGUUUUUUAGUAUAGUAUGAAGGAUAUGAAGGCAAAUGAGUGGUCAAGAUAGAAAUCAUCACCUCAUGUGAUUCAAAGGGAAAUAUCUUAUUAGUUUUUGGUUGACAUUAGCUUAAUCAAAUCCUUGGCGAAGGUGAUUAGGAGAUUAUGAAAUGAGUUUCAUAAGUCUCCAUAAAGCUAAUGAUCUACUUGUAGGAACAAAUAUGGAGGUCAAUAAGAGUAGGCACUACACCGAACUCUUAUCAUCUCCGAGAUAUACGAUGAGAAAAUAAAUUACACUGAAAAAGUGUACAUUAAAAGGAUGUCAAAGAAUCUUUCAACUCUUUUACAAUUAGGUGGCCAUGAUGCAUUGCUAAAUGCAAAUCAUAGUUUAUGGAAUUGAAUUAGCUAAUUUAAAAUUGAAUAUGAUUCAUUUAAAUUAAUUAAUUACUAAUAUUGUAAUUCAAUUCCAUUGCCAACCUAUUAGGAACCUAAUGGGUCACACACAAAGGUUGCAAUUUGGAUCAAAUUAAAAGUGUGAUGAUUUAAGUUAAACUUAAAUCAAAUUCUAUGUUUUAACUACUAAGGACCUAAUUAAAAGAGUUAAAUUAGGCAUUGGUUAAAUAUUAUAAUUGUUAUAAUAUUAAGAACUUAUUUUGUAAAUUUUAAUAAGUUAAACCUAGAUAUAAAUAUCACAUUAUACCAUUCUUUUCAAAAGGCAACAAAAGAAAAAAAACAACUAAUAAUUUUUUUAAGUGUCGCCAUUUUUGAGAAGGUUUUUUACAAAAGCUUCUCUAUUGAUUCUUUGCUGGAAAUCAAAGAAGAAAAAAGGACAAACCAUUGUCCACUUGCUAGCACAAGCACAUGGCAUAAAGCUCUCUCUUUGUGAAAGAUCAAUUGCAAUCGUGUGUGCAACAUUAGAGGCCAAAUGUUUCAGUGGCUGGGAUUCUUUCACACAAGAAGGUGUUCACACUUUUCAACACCAAAAGAAAUCCAUUUGAUUAUGAUACCAUUUAGAAAGGUAAAACCUUUUUUUAAUUUUCUAUGGUGUUUAACUUUGCAUUAAACAACCAAGGUGAUCCAAAGGUAGGAAGCAUGGUUUUUAUUUUAUUUUAAUUUUUUUUUGGUUAUUUUGUUGUGUUGAUGCUCUAAUCAUGCCGUUCCUAGUACAUCUAUCAAUAGAUUUGAAACAGGAUGCUUUCUAUUGCAUUCUGCCUACUAUCUAUGGAUAGUUGUUUUAUAUGUAUCGACAAAUAACCUUUGAAACUCCGUUUUUUUAGCAAAUUUGUGUAUUUUUUCCAUUCUUUAGGUCCCUUGACCUCCUAGGACUAUCUUUACUGCUCAUUUCAUUUCUCUAAACACAUUCUCAUGCCAACAUAGAGUAUAACUCAAUAACAUUAUUCAAGAUGGACUUAACAUGCAAUGUAUCAUAAAGAUAACAAUCAUAAUCAUUCCAUUAACAUUCUACUCACACAUUGUGAUGGUACAACCCCCAUCAACCUUGGGCUGACAAUGUAUAGCCUCAUUGCACCUUGGGUGUUUAUGAUGCAUCAUAGAAGUGAAGUUGUCACUACACCCCGUGUGAGUGGAAUCAAUCAUACUUGUUAAGCUUUUAUACUCAUAGCAUUUAGUAUGUGGAAUGCCCAUCACAUACAUGCUUACUCAUCGUAUAAGAUAUAUGGAAUUUCACAUCAUAUACACAUCUCAUGGCAUUUCUUCAUGCCUACUCUUUCAUCAUAACAUAUGUAAAACAUGCAUUACAUACAUAAUCUCAUAGCAUUCAUCAUGCUUCCUCAAACAUCUCAUGUAGUAUACGGAAAACACAUCAUAUGCAAAAACAUAAUAUCUUAGAUGAAAAUCAUUAUACAAGUCAUCACACAUUUCAUGCCUCGAUAUAUCUAGCAUACACCUCAUACAUUCAUGCAUUAAUCAUAAAUCAUAUCAUAUACCCACACUAGUCCGAAGAUCAAAGUAAUCAAAUGGACUCAAACAUAAGGUGCUUAUCCCCCCUUGUUGAAAACUAAUACAUAAUAUCAUAUUUAUAUACAUUGAAGGUUGAAAACGAAUUUUCAAAUAUUUUCUCAUCCACAAAUAAAUUUUCAGUUCAUAAAUAUUUGCAAAAAAUUGUAUUCACCAAUAAUCCUCAAAUCAUGUUUCAACUUUACAUAUCAAAAUAUUUUUGAAAGUGGUGUAUCGACUCACCUAAUAAGAGGCUCAAUUACAACUCUAAUUCUAUGAAAUCUGAUGUGUUUUCAAGCAUUCCUAUCAUACAAUAUUCAUAACAAUAAAUUUUUGAACUAAUAAUCUUGGAAUAAUUAAGCUAGCAUCUUUCGAAAUCUAUUCCUUUUUUACUAGAGCUACGUUCUCUCUCUAAACUAAGCUAUAAAUGCAUAAAUUCUCUAAACUUACCUUAGAUGAGCUUCGAUGUUGAAAGAAAUUACAAAAACCUUAGAUUUAAUCCUCAAUAGAAAUUUCUAGGCAAAAAUAAUAAAUUUCUAGCAUUAAAAAUGUCAAUUUUAGCUUUAAACUUCAAAACUAAGAUUAAAAUCAUCAAAAGCAAUGAUUUUUCAUUAAAAAUGGGUUAAAAGGGUUUUAGAGAGGUUUUACCUUUCAAAAAAUGACUAAAGAUUGAUAAACCCUCGAUUAUUGUGUCAUAUUUAUAGUUUGGGAAGUGAAAAUACGCUUUUUUCCCUUAUUUUUGUGAAAACGGCAUCAUCUAUUGAUAAAUCAAGGCUAUCUAUCGAUAGAUGAGCUUCAGAACCCUUUUUGGAAGCUUCCUAAUUGCCAUCUAUCAAUAGAUGGGAGCCAUCUAUAUAGAUCCGGAUAUCUAUGGAUAGAUUUGCUCAUCUAUCCAUAGAUGUUAUUUAGAGCAGCUUUGAUAAACCAUUUCUAGAUUGUAUCAUCGAUAGAUGAAGAACAUCUAUCAAUAGAUUGGUCCAGAAAGCAAAAAAAAACCUUAGAAAUAUGUCCAAUUGAACUCUUUUUAACACCAAACUUUGUAAAUUAUCUUAAUGCAUCAAAACAUGAAUUUUUCUAAGAUCAAAACUUACUUUUGAACAUUCCAAACACAAAAAUCAUCUCAAAACAUUACACCAUGAAAUUUUUCAUUCACAAAACUAAAUUUCAAGUUUUCAAAACACAAUUUAACUUGCUCAUCUAAGGAUUUCCAACUGAGCAAACCCCACAUUAAGGUGGGGUUUCACAAAUCAACACAAUAGUUUUUAUAAAGGUUUGACCUUUUUGCCUACGUUUUCUCCCUUAGAUUCAUUAAGGAGUUUAAAAUCUACUAUUGAAAUAAGAUUCAAUACAAUACCUUUUAUGGAUCAAGCAUAACCUUGCAGUACAAUGCCUUUGAUGGAUCAAGCACAACCAUUCUACCUUUUAAUUUGGCUAAGGCAUAAGCACUCAAACUACCUUUUUAACUUGGUUAAGGUAUAACCACUCAAGAUGUUAUAAUAAAUUAUGAGAGUAAAAGCUAAAAUGCCUCUUAAAAGCCAAAAAGCUAGAUGGGUACAAUGUUUGGUCAUGUCACGAUCUGGAACUCCCAUCGAACCCGUGACAAUCGCCGCGAUGUCCCGAUAGACAUUCAUUACCCGAAAUGCCAAUCGAAACCUCGCAAGGCUUAACAUCAGUUUUCUUGCUUCCCCUAUGAGUAUUAGUUACUAAAAUCAUGUUUUAAAGUGAUAUGAAGCAAUUUCAAUUCAAAAAUAGUCAAAGAGAAGUUUCAACUACAUAGGGGUAUUUUGGUCAUUUUUCCCAAAAAUUUUGAAACCAGCUAAAAUGUAGUAUAUGAGAGAAAUUUACACAUUUCAUAACUGAAAAUAAGUUUAGAUAUCUAAAACAUUCAUUUAAAGUGAAAUUAUAGCUAAAGGAAUAAAAUAAAAAUAAUGAAUAAAAUAUUCUAAUUUUUCAUAAAAUAAUUUUUAUAGAACGCUACGUAAAUAAUUUUUAUAGCGUAAAAGCAAAAUAAAUUCUUACAUACAGUAGCACACGCAGCCAGGUAUUCAAAACAUUUAACAAUGACAUGUGGGCCCCUGAAUGACUAAAAGUAAUGAAGGCUGUGAACCUACAGUUUUUGAGGAUGCAAGUCCAAUUGUAGCCCUCAACGAAAUGAGCUAUCUACCAACUAUCCUGAGCCUAAAAUGAGUGGAAAAGAGGAUGGUGAGAUUAUAUAAUCCCAAUGAGUAAACAAAUAUCAUCUAAAAUAACUAAAGCUGAGUAAAUGGAGACAGAUAAAAUAGAUUAGCAUAAAAAUGAUUCACAGCAUUUCGAAUUCAUUUUAAUAAGAUAAAAUAGAUUCAUUUCACCUAAAUAAACAACGAGGCUUAUGAUUUCUUGAAAAGCUUGACUCGUGCCAAAAUCAUUCUCAUACUCAGUUGUCAGGGAUACCUUGGCCUAGGGCUAUCCCAACCAAGUCCGCCAAGGCUAUUAAAAAGUCAUGUACGCAUAAAUCAUGUUUUUUAUUUUGAAAACAUAGUCGUUCCUUGGCGUUGGCUGAGUUCACCCUCACGUGGUGGUUCAGCGUGAAGUGAACUCUAAAGUUUUACCUCAGGAAUUACCCUACGCGCCUCUUCAACUGAGGUAAGAAUAUACCCGAAUUUCGUGCCCCUCAAAAAGGCUAGUCCACAGAACCCGCCACUUCAGUGACCAAUCUAUAACCCACCAAUUCAAUAAAAUUCAGCAGAAUGACAUGGCAAUUUUAUCAUUAUCCAGCCUAUCAAGGCAAACAACAGUUUAUGCAUUUUCAACACAAACACCCAUCCAGCCAUUCAUGCCCACAUUAUCAUAAGCCAUUCAAUUCAAAACAUAAUUUACAAUACAGCAAGUAGUCUCCAAUUACUCCAUUUUCAAGUCAUCAUUAAAUUUCAAAACAAUUUAUAAAAUCAUUUCAUUUAAACACAUUUUUCAUAAAAUUACAAAAUCGGAUAAAAACAUAAUUUAGAUAAUUAAGACGAUAAUAAAGUUACUCACUGUAAUGGGAAUUGAAUUCGGGAUACUCUGAUUCUUGAUCCUCGGAUUCUACCUCUUUACUCUUGCUAGAAUGCUCACCACCUAGACAUAAUGCACAAUAAGCAAUUUGCUACAUUUGUGCUAAACCGUUGUAAAACCAAUUCAGGCUCUAUACUAAUGCAUGAUAUGGGAUGUGAAAUACUCAGAUAACUAUCUAAAUACGGUGUUCAAUAUAAAUUCAAUUAUGUACCUAAAUAAAAUGGUAUUAGCCUAAUUCGAUCUAUCACCCAAUUAAUUGGCCAAUACGUCCAAUUCAACUCCAAACAAUUCCAUUUCUCUCCCAAUACUCCAAAUCAUUAAACACAAUUUAAAUAACUUGAAAUGUGGCAAAAUCAUCCUCACAUUUGUUCUUAAAAAAUUCGGCCAUGGUGAGUGCACUAACAAAUAUAAUUUUUUUAUGCUUGAUUCUCACACCAUAAAUCAUUCAUUCCUAAUCAAAUCACUUGAAAUUCGAUCAAAUUCAUCAUCAAUAUUCUACAUGGAAUAUUCGGCCAAUGAAGGUGAUGUAAGAACAUGAAUUUUUCUUACUUGCUUUUCAUACUACACAUCACCAAACAACUAAAAACACUAGAAUAACAUGUUUGCUAACUAAAUUCAUCAUCAAAUUCUCUCUCCUAAGGUUUGAUCAGCACACUAUCCUUCAUGAUAUCUUGUGAUUCAACCAUGAAAAAUGCAAAAUAAUGCAUAGAAAAGAUAGAUCACAAGCUAAAAUUAAGAAAUUUCACCUUUGAUGGCUUGAUUCCUUGAAAUUUGGUAAAUUUCUCUUGAAUUUCUUAGUUAGGGUUUUGUUCUUCUUCUUUUCUUCCCUUUUCUUCCUUUGGC
rnacentral:lncRNA from 1 species